GCAGUCGAGCGGCAGCACAAAAAACUUUGUUCUCUUGGUGGCGAGUGGGAGAGGGGUGAAUAGUAUAUCGGACCGUGCCCUGUAGCGGGGGAUAUCUACUCAAAAGAGUGGCUAAUACCGCAUACGCCCUAGAGGGGAAAGGGGGGGAUUCUUCGGAACCUCUCACUAUUGUACCGGCCGAUAUCUGAUUAGCUAGUUGGUGGGGUAAACGCUCACCAAGGCAACCAUCCCUAGCUGGAUUGAAAGGACAACCACCCUCACUGGGACUGACACACCGCACUCACUCCUACGGGAGGCAUGGGUGGGGAAUUUUGGACAAUGCGGGAAACCCUGAUCCAUCCCUCCCGCGUGAAUAAUGAAUGCCUUCUGGUUGUAAAUUUCUUUUGGCAGAAAAGAAAAGGUAUCUCCUACUACGACAUACUGCUGACCGUAUCUACAAAAUAACCACCGGCUAACUGCCUGCCAC
rnacentral:rRNA from 1 species